rnacentral:rRNA from 1 species
CUGGCUCAGGAUGAACGCUAGCGACAGGCUUAACACAUGCAAGUCGAGGGGCAGCAUAAAAGUAGCAAUACUUGGUGGCGACCGGCGCACGGGUGAGUAACGCGUAUGCAACCUACCUAUCAGAGGGGAAUAACCCGGCGAAAGUCGGACUAAUACCGCAGUAAAACAGGGGCACCGCAUGGUGAUAUUUGUUAAAGAAAUUCGCUGAUAGAUGGGCAUGCGUUCCAUUAGGUAGUUGGUGAGGUAACGGCUCACCAAGCCGACGAUGGAUAGGGGAACUGAGAGGUUGGUCCCCCACACUGGUACUGAGACACGGACCAGACUCCUACGGGAGGCAGCAGUGAGGAAUAUUGGUCAAUGGGCGGGAGCCUGAACCAGCCAAGUCGCGUGAAAGGAAGAAGGAUCUAUGGUUCGUAAACUUCUUUGCAGGGGAAUAAAGUGCAGGACGUGUCCUGUUUUGUAUGUACCCUGAGAAUAAGGAUCGGCUAACUCCGUGCCAGCAGCCGC